rnacentral:rRNA from 1 species
GACCUGAACUCAGUCGAGAGCACCCGCUGAACUUAAGCAUAUCAUUUAGCGGAGGA